rnacentral:tRNA from 1 species
GCCGGGUUGGCUUAGUUGGUAGAGCAUGUGACUCUUAAUCUCAGGGUUGUGAGUCCAAGCCUCACAUGGAGCG